rnacentral:rRNA from 1 species
UACGUAGGGUGCGAGCGUUAAUCGGAAUUACUGGGCGUAAAGCGUGCGCAGGCGGUUUUGUAAGCCAGAUGUGAAAUCCCCGGGCUUAACCUGGGAAUGGCAUUUGGGACUGCAAGGCUGGAGUGCGGCAGAGGAGACUGGAAUUCCUGGUGUAGCAGUGAAAUGCGCAGAUAUCAGGAGGAACACCGAUGGCGAAGGCAGGUCUCUGGGCCACUACUGACGCUCAGGCACGAAAGCGUGGGGAGCAAACAGG